rnacentral:rRNA from 1 species
UACCAGCACCCCGAGUGGUCGGGACGAUUAUUGGGCCUAAAGCAUCCGUAGCCGGUUCUAUAAGUCUUCCGUUAAAUCCACCUGCUUAACAGAUGGGCUGCGGAGGAUACUAUAGAGCUAGGAGGCGGGAGAGGCAAGCGGUACUUAGUGGGUAGGAGUAAAAUCCGUUGAUCCAUUGAAGACCACCAGUGGCGAAGGCGGCUUGCCAGAACGCACUCGACGGUGAGGGAUGAAAGCUGGGGGAGCAAACCGG